GAUUAUUGUACUAUCUCUAUGCGUAUUAAAAUAAUCCUUAUUUUCGAUAUCUCUUUCUAUACGAAUAUUUACUCUUUGUUUCUUUGUCGUGAAAAUUUUCGUUUGUGACACUCAAAAUUUCAUCUUAUCUCAACUGUGUUGCCAUCAUUGGUUAAUUGUCUCUAUAUAACUCUAGAUAGCUACUCAUCUUCCCUUGUAAUGGGUCAAAUUACCAAAAAUCAGCUGUCACCAAAUCUGCUAUUUUUCUGGAUCACACUAACCGCAGAUAAAAAUUGUUUUGAAAUUGGAUUAAGUUAACACUAUUCCCUGCUGCAUUACCUUAAUUUGAGUUUUGUUUUACUCCUGAUUUAUUUCGUAUUUCCAUUUGCCUGGAGUCCGAGAAGACAAAGCUACUCAAAUAUACUUAUAAUGCCCAUAACGUUAACAGUGAAAAAUCGAGCCUGUAUGGUCAAGCCAUGCCUACGCCUGUGGCCCAAGUGAAGAUUGUGUACUUUAAAGAUUGCAGCAUCAAUUUUCCCUUCUUGUAUUAUUUAUCUUCAAGUUACUCUCUUUUUGGUGGCAAGAUCAAUCAAAUCAAAUAUAAACCCUUUUAUUUGUUGACACAUUUAUUCAUCAAAAGUGUUUACUCUUAAUCACUGACUAUAAAACUGUCCAUUUUAAUCCGAUUGCCAGUUGACUUACUGGUUUUGACCAUCUCUUUAUCAUCACUGGACUGGAUGUGUAACAAUUUUUGCCAACUCAAAAGGCCUAUCAUUCAAAGAUACGAGUUUCACUUUAAACUUGUCAAGUCAUUAUCAAACCAUCAAAUAAAGUCAACAACUUCAAUUAGUAACAUAAUUUUCAUCACCACAAUGCUUCAGAUUUCCAAGCCUGCUCAUCAAAAUGGUUCUUUGAAAAGGAUAAAUUGAAUUCUGGCUUCACUCUGACAGAUCUGGUUCAGUAGUCGCAAAUAAUACAAAAAUGGGAUCCAUGUUAUUAAAUAUGAAAUCUGGAGGAGAGACAGAAAAAGGAUAUUCAAUUGAAAUUGAAACUUGGUGUCUUAGAUGUUGAUGAGCAAAAAAAGGAGAUGAAAGCAAAGGAAACCAAUGGGACAUGAUAAGAGAAGCAAAAAAAGGAAAGUCAAGAUUGGAAAGAUUAUCAAUCAGAUACAAGUUUAUGGAAGUCUAUUCAUUCUUUUGUGCAAAUAAAAGCAGAUUCCGGAUUCUGUUUUAUGGUUUAGACAUGAUUAAUGAUUGCCAAAGUCUAGUAGUGAAAACAAGGAGAUGAUGAUGCAGAAGAAGAUGAAGAAGCAUCAAUGACAUUGUCUAUGUAUUUCCAUUGAAACUGGUUAAACAAAUUAGUUAUACAAACUUACAUCUUCUUUUGUUAUUGGACCAGUUAUUUUUUUUCUUCAUCUCUCUAUUAAUAUUUAUAUUCAAUAUAAUAGUCAUAAUCAGCUUGAUGAACAACAACCGAGUGUCAAUUUAAUAAUAUUAUGAUUAUUACUAGUUGACUAAAUUUAUCAUGACAGGGAAUCUUGAAUUUGAAGUUUAAUUCACCAUUAAUAUUGAACUUUUUUCACUUCUUGUUCAUCAAAAAAUUUUCACUUUGCUUUUUGUAAUAUUAGUUAUAUCAUCUCGUUACUCAUUAUAAUUAUCUUUUGAAACGGAAA